rnacentral:lncRNA from 1 species
CGCAUACAUCACUAAAGAAGAUAAGAAUCCACAUAUAUGGGGGAACACGUCAAAGGCCCAUGUUAUGGAAGUAGCAGAGGCUUAUGAGGGAAAGAAAAAAAAAGGGGGUGCUCCUAUGAGUGCAACCGACAUUAUAGAGCAGCUUGCGGGACAAAAUUCGUGGCCGGAAGUGUUCAGGCACGAACAGCUGAAGCAUAUUGUUCUACAAAGGUACCCGAGCAUGAAGGGCUCCUAUGAGGACAUACAAGUCCUCAAACUAAUGGAAGCAGGAACCCUAAUAGAAAGAAAAGUAUAUGGAAGAAAAAGAAUGUUCCAGUUGUUAUGAUAGCGAAUGAACUACCAGAGUGCGUUGCUGCGAAUGGGCCUUUCCACGAGAGAUUCAUGGUCUUACACUUCCGCGAAAGGGUAAAUGAUCU